rnacentral:rRNA from 1 species
UUAGCGCGGUGGUCCCACCUGACCCCAUGCCGAACUCAGAAGUGAAACGCCGUAGCGCCGAUGGUAGUGUGGGGUCUCCCCAUGCGAGAGUAGGGAACUGCCAGACA